rnacentral:rRNA from 1 species
UACGUAGGUGGCAAGCGUUGUCCGGAUUUACUGGGUGUAAAGGGCGUGUAGGCGGGAAGGCAAGUCAGAUGUGAAAGCCCAUGGCUUAACUGUGGAACUGCAUCUGAAACUGUUUUUCUUGAGUACUGGAGAGGAAAGUGGAAUUCCUAGUGUAGCGGUGAAAUGCGUGGAGAUUAGGAGGAACACCAGUGGCGAAGGCGGCUUUCUGGACAGUAACUGACGCUGAGGCGCGAAAGCGUGGGGAGCAAACAGGAUUAGAUACCCCCGUACGUCCU